UACGAAGGGGGCUAGCGUUGUUCGGAAUCACUGGGCGUAAAGCGCACGUAGGCGGAUUGUUAAGUCGGGGGUGAAAUCCUGAGGCUCAACCUCAGAACUGCCUUCGAUACUGGCAAUCUCGAGUCCGGAAGAGGUUGGUGGAACAGCUAGUGUAGAGGUGAAAUUCGUAGAUAUUAGCUAGAACACCAGUGGCGAAGGCGGCCAACUGGUCCGGUACUGACGCUGAGGUGACGGAAAGCGUGGGGAGCAAACAGGAUUAGAUACCCCGAGUA
rnacentral:rRNA from 1 species